CCUACGGGGGGCUGCAGUGAGGAAUAUUGGUCAAUGGGCGGAAGCCUGAACCAGCCAAGUAGCGUGCAGGAUGACGGCCCUACGGGUUGUAAACUGCUGUUAUACGGGAAUAACGCGCCUUACGUGUAGGGCUUUGCAUGUACCGGAUGAAUAAGGACCGGCUAAUUCCGUGCCAGCAGCCGCGGUACUACGGAAGGUCCGGGCGUUAUCCGGAUUGAUUGGGUUUAAAGGGAGUGUAGGCCGCCUGUCAAGCGUGCUGUGAAAUGUCCGGGCUCAACCCGGGCCUUGCAGCGCGAACUGGCGUGCUUGAGUCCGCGGAAAGCAGGCGGAAUUCGUCGUGUAGCGGUGAAAUGCUUAGAUAUGACGAAGAACCCCGAUUGCGAAGGCAGCUUGCUGCAGCGGAACUGACGCUGAUGCUCGAAAGCGCGGGUAUCGAACAGGAUUAGAUACCCGUGUAGUC
rnacentral:rRNA from 1 species